CGCCAUUGUACCUUUUAAUAACAUUUGCUGUUUUCAUUCUUGUACAUCCAGCGUUCAGCUGCUAACAGUAAAAUUUGUAAAAUGUAAUACAGAACAGUCUGCGUGAAUAUGGGCGGAACAUAACCUGCAGGAACGUAACAGCAGGAGUGGGCAGUGAGUUACAGGGAUAAUGGACUCCUGGACCCCGAACCCCCGAGCCAAGCCCUUCAUCCCCCGACAGCAGCGCAGCCUUUACCUUACCUGGAAAUACAAACUCGCCAACAAACGGGCUCUCCGCCGAAUUUGCCAGGGUGGUGCAGUCCUGUUCUUGUUCAUUACCGUGAUCGUGAACAUCAAGCUUAUUCUGGAAACAAGGAGAGCAGCAAACGAGGAAGAUCCUGCUCCAGAUUACGAUGAUGCCUUGGCUAAUAUGGAAACGCCUCGAAGACCAGCCAGCGGACGCAAAGUGUUGGACAUCGAGGUGUACUCCAGUCGCUCAAAGGUCUAUGUGGCUGUGGACGGUACCACAGUAUUGGAGGAUGAGAUGCGUGAGCAGGGAAGAGGCAUACACGUUAUCGUGCUCAAUCAGGCUACUGGCCAUGUAAUGGCUAAGCGAGUGUUUGACACCUACUCGCCCCAUGAGGAUGAAGCUAUGAUCCUGUUUCUUAAUAUGGUCACUCGUGGCAGAGUCCUAAUCUUCACCAUUAAGGAUGAAGGAACCUUCCAUUUGAAAGAUGCUGCCAAGAACCUGUUGAAGGGACUGGGCAGUCAGGUGGCUGCUACUCUUAGCUGGAGAGACAUGUGGACUCUGGUUGUGAAGAAAGGAGGUAAAGACCUCCUUACGGUGUAUGGAGAGAAGCACUCGAAAUCACCUGCUCUCUCCACCUGGGGAGAUCCUGUGCUGCUGAAGACCGAAGUUCAGCUCACGGCGGCUGAAGAGGCAGAGUGCCACUGGGCAGACACGGAGCUGAACCGAAGGAGGAAACUGUUCUGCAGUAAAGUGGAGGGUUAUGGCAGCAUCUGCAGCUGUAAGGAUCCAGCACCAAUAGAGUUCAACCCAGAGCCACUUCCCAACAAUAAUGUCUACAACGUCCCAGUUGCUGUUAUCGCAGGGAAUAGACCAAACUAUCUGUACAGGAUGUUGCGCUCUCUCCUGUCCUCCCAUGGUGUGAACCCACAAAUGAUCACGGUUUUUAUAGAUGGUUAUUAUGAGGAGCCCAUGGAUGUGGUGGAGUUGUUUGGGCUUAAAGGAGUUCAGCACACACCCAUCAGCAUUAAAAAUGCCCGCGUGUCCCAGCACUACAAAGCAAGUUUGACUGCAACUUUCAAUCUUCAUCCGGAUGCAAACUUUGCUAUUGUCCUGGAGGAAGAUCUGGAUAUUUCCAUUGAUUUCUACAGUUUUCUCAGUCAGACCAUUCAUUUGCUGAAUGAAGAUGAGAGCAUUUAUUGCAUUUCAGCCUGGAAUGAUCAGGGCUAUGAGCACACAGCGGAGGACCCAUCACUGCUAUACAGGGUGGAGAGUAUGCCUGGCCUGGGCUGGGUGCUGAAAAAGAGCCUCUACAAGGAUGAACUCGAACCCAAGUGGCCCACUCCUGAGAAGCUGUGGGACUGGGAUAUGUGGAUGCGCAUGCCAGAGCAGAGGAAGGGCAGAGAGUGCAUAAUUCCCGACGUCUCCCGCUCCUAUCACUUUGGCAUCGUUGGCCUCAACAUGAACGGUUACUUCCAUGAAGUCUACUUUAAGAAGCAUAAGUUUAACACUGUCCCAAAUGUUCAGUUGAAAAAUAUUGAUGGCUUGAAGAAAGAUGCCUAUGAAGUAGAGAUCCAGAAUCUGUUACGUGAGGCAGAAGUUCUGGAUCACAGCAAGAACCCAUGUGAAGACGCCUUCAUCCCAGACACUGAAGGAAAGACCUACGUCAUGUUCAUCAAGAUGGAGCAGGAGACGGAUACGAGCACCUGGACUGAACUGGCCAAGUGCCUGCAUGUGUGGGACCUAGACGUGCGAGGCUAUCACAGAGGCCUCUGGAGGCUCUUCAGGAAGAAAAACCACGUCCUUGUUGUUGCUGUUCCAGUCUCUCCUUACUCCACUCGGAAACCUGCCCAUGUUACCCCUAUUCACCUGGAGCCUCCACCUAAAGACGAGGCAGCCCCUGUGGAGCAGCUCUAGUGCAGCUGCAGUUGAACAGGUCUCAUUAAACAAAGGGUCCCACUUGCACUCAGCCUGCGCUGAGAAAACCUUCUGCCUUCAGGCAGAACACAGCGUAAGCUGCUACAGCUCCCCUACUGGCGCAUCCUCUGAUACAUGCCGCCUGUGUCGACUAGGAGCUCUUGCGUUAUGUGAGUGAGGAAAAUGCAAAUGAAAACAUCACCUCUACCUGAUCUAGGAUCGAUGCUCUGACACGCUUGCAUUAGUCAGAGGUUACUUGAAGUCGUGUUGUGGUUUUGACGAGUUCAGCCAUCGGUCUGUACAACACUAAAGACUGAUAAUAUUGUUUUAUCAAUUCAGUCUCAAUUCCUUCCAAGGUUUAUCUGUAUUGUGACAUUUGAUUUUAUGCUAUUAAUGUAACUCGUCGUAUAAUGUUUUCAAAUCAUUUCAUGACUGACUUUUUUUAAAAUUAUUUUUAUUAUAAUAAAUCAUAAAGGUACAACUGGAAGUAUUGACUUUGUAGGUUGUUCUUCCACCGUAAUAUUAGUUUGCAAAAAAUGUGCAAUAGGUUUGGUUUUCCCCAUUUCAAACUGACUGACUGGAAAUUUAUUCGGAGAUGCCACGAGUCCUCAAGUCCUUUAAACAUUUCCCUGUUGAUUUUUCUAUUGUUCUGUAUUUGUUUUGUAUGUUGCUGUUGAUUUUUUUUUUUUAAUAAAUUAAAUGUUUGUAAGCUUUUGCGUUUUA